UGGAGUGUGGCUCAGUGAUAAAGCACUUGCCUCAGAUAUGUGAGGCACUGGGUUCGAUUCUCAGCACUGCAU
rnacentral:tRNA from 1 species